rnacentral:rRNA from 1 species
AUUGAACGCUGGCGGCAGGCUUAACACAUGCAAGUCGAGCGGAGAGAGGUAGCUUGCUACUGAUCUUAGCGGCGGACGGGUGAGUAAUGCUUAGGAAUCUGCCUAUUAGUGGGGGACAACAUUUCGAAAGGAAUGCUAAUACCGCAUACGUCCUACGGGAGAAAGCAGGGGAUCUUCGGACCUUGCGCUAAUAGAUGAGCCUAAGUCGGAUUAGCUAGUUGGUGGGGUAAAGGCCUACCAAGGCGACGACCUGUAGCGGGUCUGAGAGGAUGAUCCGCUACACUGGGACUGAGACACGGCCCAGACUCCUACGGGAGGCAGCAGUGGGGAAUAUUGGACAAUGGGCGGAAGCCUGAUCCAGCCAUGCCGCGUGUGUGAAGAAGGCCUUAUGGUUGUAAAGCACUUUAAGCGAGGAGGAGGCUACUUUAGUUAAUACCUAGAGAUAGUGGACGUUACUCGCAGAAUAAGCACCGGCUAACUCUGUGCCAGCAGCCGCCGUAACAC